rnacentral:rRNA from 1 species
UACAGAGGUCUCAAGCGUUGUUCGGAUUCAUUGGGCGUAAAGGGUGCGUAGGUGGCGCUGUAAGUCAGGUGUGAAAUUUCGGAGCUUAACUCCGAAACUGCAUUUGAUACUGCGGUGCUCGAGGACUGGAGAGGAGACUGGAAUUUACGGUGUAGCAGUGAAAUGCGUAGAGAUCGUAAGGAAGACCAGUGGCGAAGGCGGGUCUCUGGACAGUUCCUGACACUGAGGCAACGAAGGCCCAGGGGGAGCAAAACGGGG